rnacentral:lncRNA from 1 species
CAUCUACAACAGAACAAUCAACUACAUCUGAACGAAGCACAACAACACAGACAGCAACAACAUCCCUACCUACAACAAGUACAGCUCAAUCUACAACCCUGGUUACAACAACCUCACCUACAAUUACAUCUCAGCUUACAACUACUGCCCCUCCUACAGAAACAACAACACAACUUACAUCUACGGCUGAACCAACAACCACAACCAAAGCUCAAUCACCAACAACCCCAGACACAACCCAGACAGUUUUUGUUAGUUUUUCCAGCAGUGACAAUUUUGUCUCUGAUCUGUCAAAUCCAGCUUCAGAAGCAUAUAAAAACAGAGAAAAGAAAGUCAAAGAUACGUUGACACCACUCUUUACAAAAGAAUUGCCCUCCUUCAAAGGACUGGCAGUUAUUCGGUUCCGUCCGGGGUCAAUCAUCACUGAUGUGAAUGUGACAUUUGGAACCUUACCCAGUGAUGCGAAGAUCGAAAACACUAUUAUGGAAGCUAACGCCACUCUUAAUAUCACCAGUGUAACACUAACGAAGCCCUUCACCACAACUACCAGUUCCACUACAACUACAACCACACCUACAACAACAGCAGCAGCAACGGCAACAACCACCACAACAUCUACAGCCAAUCCUAAUACAACAACCACCACAACAUCUACAGCCAAUCCUAAUACAACAGCAACCACAACAUCUACAGCCAAUCCUAAAACAACAGCAGCAAAAACAACAACAACCACAACAACAACAACCACAACAACCACAACCACAACAACCACAACAAAAGCACCAGCACGACCUCAGCCAACUGUUGAGAUACAGAUUGUCAUUAUAGUGGUGUUUGUUCCAGCACUGUCAAACCCUCAAACUCCAGAAUUUAAAAGCCUUGCCACAAAAGUAGAGACUAUGGUAUGUGGCAGAACAGUACAGUGAUUUACAGAAACAAAAGCAUUUGCAAAG